ACAGCACGUCGGUGAGAAAAGGGAAGAUGGGUGCAGCUGGGUUGCUUUGCCCCCAGCAGGCACAGGACCUUCACAAUGUUUGCUGCAGGUGUGGCACUCCUCAGGGUUCUUACUGACUUAGUAUAGUCUUACGGACUACAGGGGGCAUGGACCUGUGAUGCCUCAGGGAGGCACCAGGACUGGGUUCCAGGCUUGGUGAUUAGAGAGCUGUCAUUUGUUCCUGAGGUUAAAACCAAAGAGGGAGAGGAGGAGUCCCCUGCAGUGAGAAAGCCAGACAGUUCAAACUGAAUGCUUUGUUGUUAGCAUCUCUCCGCGGCUUGUUGGUUGCUUGUUCUGGACUCAUGAUUCUGUGGUACAGCAAAAGACAGAGUCAUAUAAAAUUAUUUGCUACUACUGUGUACUGUGAAUAUUUUGGUUUCUUAAAAUUAGCCUAUAUGUAAUUUGGCUGUUUUAGAAGACUUCCUGAUUUUUUUCCCCACUAUGAAUAAGCAAGAAACUGUAAAAUCAAAUUUUCACCAGUCAUGGCCACUCAAAACAUCUCACAGCUGCUGUGCUGUGUCAUGGUUCCCCGAAAUCCUGUGGCAGGAGCAUUAGUAAGUAUGCAGUCAUACCUCAAUCUGUUUAAUGUUCAGUGGAUCAAGGCAGUAUGUUUUAAAUAGCAGAAACUCUAUAAUGAUAUUGGCCAUUGUUUACAAAAGCUGUUAUCACUGAUCUGUCUACAUUCCUCUGAUUCUUUCCUAUGGUUCAUUCCCUAUUCAGCCCAACCUCCAUAUAUAUUGCUGCCUCAGCCCAUAAAAACAUUCAUUUUGAGGUCUGGCCAGCCAAAGUGGCAGUGGAUUCCAGCUGAUGUGGCUAAUUCUGAGAGCUGUCUCUGCAUCAGCAUGAAACUGCAAAAGAAAUCCUUGAUCUAGCUGAAAUGAAGCUUCCCUUAGAAGGAAAAGGAAAACCCACCAAACUGGACCCAUACCACUUGGUUAUAAUCAAUACCUUGAAUUGCACCUGGAAAAAAAGGCUGAGCUAAUACAAAUGGUGGAAGGGCAUGACAAAACAUCUUUCACACACAACUGUAUUCUCAGCUUGCCUCAAGUGCAGGGCAGAAGAAUUUACUCAUUGACAUAGCUCAAGCCAGAGCUAAGACAUACAGUGAGAAAUUUAAUGGUAUGGGUCUGUCCCCAAAUCAGAA